rnacentral:misc_RNA from 1 species
AUUGGAUUCAAAGGGCAAAUUUAACCUGGACCUGAAGGCCAAUCCAGGAUCAACCCCACAACUAGUCUCCUUUUCAAGAUUGAAGUCACAAGAAUUCCAAAUCUUGGGCAUAUUUCCAUGUCCUUGAACAGAAACUGAUCUCCAACCCAAAGAAUUGACAGAUGGAAUAGUGUUUGCGUUAAAAAUAUCAAUAUUUUGAGGCCGAAGUAUUGAAUUUGGAGAUGAAAUAUCAG